AGAGUUUGAUCCUGGCUCAGGAUGAACGCUAGCUACAGGCUUAACACAUGCAAGUCGAGGGGCAGCAUGGUCUUAGCUUGCUAAGGCCGAUGGCGACCGGCGCACGGGUGAGUAACACGUAUCCAACCUGCCGUCUACUCUUGGACAGCCUUCUGAAAGGAAGAUUAAUACAAGAUGGCAUCAUGAGUCCACAUGUUCACAUGAUUAAAGGUAUUCCGGUAGACGAUGGGGAUGCGUUCCAUUAGAUAGUAGGCGGGGUAACGGCCCACCUAGUCUUCGAUGGAUAGGGGUUCUGAGAGGAAGGUCCCCCACAUUGGAACUGAGACACGGUCCAAACUCCUACGGGAGGCAGCAGUGAGGAAUAUUGGUCAAUGGGCGAGAGCCUGAACCAGCCAAGUAGCGUGAAGGAUGACUGCCCUAUGGGUUGUAAACUUCUUUUAUAAAGGAAUAAAGUCGGGUAUGCAUACCCGUUUGCAUGUACUUUAUGAAUAAGGAUCGGCUAACUCCGUGCCAGCAGCCGCGGUAAUACGGAGGAUCCGAGCGUUAUCCGGAUUUAUUGGGUUUAAAGGGAGCGUAGAUGGAUGUUUAAGUCAGUUGUGAAAGUUUGCGGCUCAACCGUAAAAUUGCAGUUGAUACUGGAUAUCUUGAGUGCAGUUGAGGCAGGCGGAAUUCGUGGUGUAGCGGUGAAAUGCUUAGAUAUCACGAAGAACUCCGAUUGCGAAGGCAGCCUGCUAAGCUGCAACUGACAUUGAGGCUCGAAAGUGUGGGUAUCAAACAGGAUUAGAUACCCUGGUAGUCCACACGGUAAACGAUGAAUACUCGCUGUUUGCGAUAUACAGCAAGCGGCCAAGCGAAAGCGUUAAGUAUUCCACCUGGGGAGUACGCCGGCAACGGUGAAACUCAAAGGAAUUGACGGGGGCCCGCACAAGCGGAGGAACAUGUGGUUUAAUUCGAUGAUACGCGAGGAACCUUACCCGGGCUUAAAUUGCAGAUGAAUUACGGUGAAAGCCGUAAGCCGCAAGGCAUCUGUGAAGGUGCUGCAUGGUUGUCGUCAGCUCGUGCCGUGAGGUGUCGGCUUAAGUGCCAUAACGAGCGCAACCCUUGUUGUCAGUUACUAACAGGUUCCGCUGAGGACUCUGACAAGACUGCCAUCGUAAGAUGUGGGGAAGGUGGGGAUGACGUCAAAUCAGCACGGCCCUUACGUCCGGGGCUACACACGUGUUACAAUGGGGGGUACAGAGGGCCGCUACCACGCGAGUGGAUGCCAAUCCCCAAAACCUCUCUCAGUUCGGACUGGAGUCUGCAACCCGACUCCACGAAGCUGGAUUCGCUAGUAAUCGCGCAUCAGCCACGGCGCGGUGAAUACGUUCCCGGGCCUUGCACACACCGCCCGUC
rnacentral:rRNA from 1 species